AGCGAACGUUAGCGGCGGGCCUAACACAUGCAAGUCGAACGCGAAAGGUCUUCGGACUGAGUAGAGUGGCGCACGGGUGAGUAACACGUAGGUAAUCUACCCUUUGGCGGGGAUAACGUUCCGAAGGAGCGCUAAUACCGCAUAAGACCACGGAGUCUCCGGACGCUGUGGGAAAGGUAGGCCUCUUCUUGAAAGCUACCACCGAAGGAUGAGCCUGCGUCCCAUCAGCUAGUUGGUAAGGUAAUGGCUCACCAAGGCAUCGACGGGUAGCUGGUCUGAGAGGAUGACCAGCCACACUGGAACUGAGACACGGUCCAGACUCCUACGGGAGGCAGCAGUGGGGAAUCUUGCGCAAUGGGCGAAAGCCUGACGCAGCGACGCCGCGUGGGUGAUGAAGGCCUUCGG
rnacentral:rRNA from 1 species